rnacentral:lncRNA from 1 species
UCCCAUAAUGACGUAUCAUUUGAUCGCGAACUUGUUUAAGAACUAUACGAUAAAUCUUCUCUUUAUCAUACACUAGCAUAGUUCUAGGAACUUUAUCAUAGUACAAGAGUUCAAGGAAGAUGUCACUCUAUAAUGAAAAAUAUCAGAAUAACUAUUAUUCAAUAAUCAAUAAUUCAUAUACAAGGAUGAACUCAGUCGUCA